rfam:Oreochromis niloticus linkage group LG17, whole genome shotgun sequence.
GUGGGCUACGGGGACAUGUGCCCGGUCACCAUUGGGGGGAAGAUCGUGGGCUCUUUGUGCGCUAUCGCCGGCGUGCUGACCAUCGCGCUGCCGGUGCCCGUCAUCGUGUCCAAC